AUGGCUGCAUGAUGAAUAAAAUCAAAUUAUCAUCUUUCCACUGAACUCCUGAUGGAUUUGAGUUUUUCUGAUAGUCUG
ensembl:snoRNA